CUUCUUGUGAUGAAAUUGGUAGCACAUGAAAAAUUUAAAAUUUUUUGUCGAAAGACAUGUGGGUUCGAGUCCCACCAAGAAGA
rfam:Monosiga brevicollis mitochondrion, complete genome.